UCUUCCUCUGUCCCUCCUGACUGGGGUGGAGGCGGCUUCCUGCUCUUGCAAAUCUCCGGUGUGUCCUCACUCUCCCCUGCGGGAGAGCGGCUUUCUCAGCACUAGAAUCACCGGUUCCUUGUAACCUUCCUGUCUUUGCGAACACUUCACGUGGCUUCUCGUGCCCAUCCCGGACCCGGAUGGAUGCACACGACUGCCGUGGGAGCUGCACGGGGAGGGGCACCUCCCACACAUGGGAGGAGCCUGGAGUGGCUUCACUGAGGAACUUCUACCGGAGCUGAGGGCUGCUGGACCUUUGCGGAGAAGGAACCCGAAGCUCCGCCCAGCCGGGGCUUGCAUUGAAGUCUCCCAAGUGACAGGAGCCUCACAAACCAGAUGGGCAACAUUCGUGCCGGCGAUCCCCGUCCCCGUCACCUCGGGAAAUUGCUGGUAAUGCGCUUCUGGAGAAGGUGGCUGUCUCCUCUCCUGGUCGCUCCGGCUCUGUCCUCCUGCAGGUCAAAUCCUGGUCCUUCCUGCCGCCUUCGGGGCUGGCGCCUGGCUUCUCUCCAGGAAGACAUCUGCCCUUUUGGCCUGGCCCUGUCCCUCCGGAGGUCCUGCCUGAUACACCGUCUCACAGCGUAGGUGCAGGAUCAGAGGAGUCCGUCCAUGUCUCAUGAGCAAAGCAGCUUGCAAAGUGCCUGGUACAGAACAGGUGCCACGAGCAUCUUGGGACUGUCUCGUUCCGGCUUUCUCUUGAAUGUCUGGCCCUCCAAAUCACGGAGCCAGAUCCUGGUGUGAAAAGUCGAAAGCAGACGGAUCAGUCCUCUCAAGCAGCUUGUGUUCUAUGUUCUCAUUUCCUUCACUCCUCAAUCCAGUUCUCGGAAACCCUCUUUAAGAAUAUAAAGGAUCCACCUAGCUCAAGGUGGUCCUGAGCUGCUCUGUCUAA